CCCACCCAGGCCCCGCCCCGUUCCUCUUCUGCUUCGCCCAGACCCCCGGCCUUCCCUGGCUUGGCUCCUGUAGUUCCCCCAGUGCGAGCCCCCUGCAGGCCGACACGGGGUCGGGCCAGUUCCCUACUAGCCCGUGGAACUGGGCGGCGGCGCACGAAGUAGACCCUCCAUAGACUUCGAAAUGGUGCCCACGUGGGCACCGAGCGCCCUACUGUAGCAGUGGACUCGAUCCUGGUCUGGCCUUUAACGUCGGAAGCUCUUUCACUCAGCACACAGAGAUUUGAACUUUGCCCCCAAAGAAAAUAAAACUGCAAUGCAAGUCUAAGGUGCUAGGCGGCUGUUACCUGGAAAUUUAGCUUUCAAUGACUUGUGCCUUGGGUGCAUGCCAACGUGGACCGCAGGGGUUCUCAGCCUUCACCUGCGGGGGAUCACCUGCAGGGCUGGUUAGGACGCAGACCAGAGAUUCCGGUCUGCAGGCUCCACAGGUGGGCCCCGCCGGCUGCAUUUCCAAGGCAUCGCAGGUGGUACUGACCGGGUCUACGCCGAGCUAGGUGCCCUCCGUAGGAGUUAAUUUCCUCAUGGAGGCAAAGUCAACAGCCACAAAACAACCGGAAAUAUUGUAAGAUAGAACAGGUUUAUUUGUCAAGGUGGAAGUGGGACUGAGGCUCACUAACUGCCUGACCUGUUAUGUUCCAUAACUAUAAACAUGAUUGUAGGAGGUAGUAGAAAUAGGGUCGCCUCUGCAGACAGGUUUUAAAACUGCAUUUAUACGGUAAACAUAGUGCUUUUCCUUUUUUUUUUUUUUUUUUUUUUGUGUGUGUGUGUGUGUGUGUGAGACGGAGUCUCAUUCUGUCGCCCAGGAUGGAGUGCAGUGGCAGGAUCUUGGCUCACUGCAACCUCCGUCUCCCAGCCUCCUGAGUAGCUGCGACUACAGGCACCCACCACCAUGCCCACAUAAUUUUGUGUUCUUUGUUUUGUUGUGAGACAGGGUCUGGCUCUGUCAGGCUGGAGUGCAAUGGUGGGAUCAUGGCUCCCUGCAGCCUCGACCUCCUGGGCUCAGGUGAUCCUCCUGCCUCAGCCUCCCCUGUAGCUGGUAUUACAGGUGUGUGCCACCUGUAGUAAUUUUUUUUGUAUUUCUUGUAGAAAUACGAGAAAUACACCCAGCUAAUUUUUUUGUAUCUCUUGUAGAAAGAGGGUUUCAUCAUGUUGCCCAGGCCGGUCUCAAACUUCUGGGCUCAAGUGAUCCACCCAUCUUGGCCUCCCAGUGUGCAGGGAUUACAGGCAUAAGCCACAGAGCCCGGCCUACAUAUUGCUUAUUAUUCAUACUUAAAAGCGCAUGCCUGGGAAUCGGGGGCUGGAGAGGGCUGAAGGCUCCCCAAGCCACCUUCCCAAAUCCUACGUCUCAUCUGUGCCAUGAAAGGGGCAGGUUAGAUGCAGGUUAGAUGUCAGCGUUUCCCACACUAGCCUGAGUGUAAGCAUCCACUGAGGGAACUUCCAAAUAAUACAGACUCCCAGAUCACGCUGAUUCCAGGAGGUCUGGGACGGGUGCAAGGAAUUUCAAGAAGUAACAUCAAGUUAUUCUUAUGCUCAGAGAAGGCUAAUAAAUUUGGGGCGAGGCCAAAAGGCAUUGGAAGCCAGUAGUUUGAAAGAAAAAUAGCUUUCCAAAGGCUUUCGCUUUGUAAAAACUAAAUGGUGCCUUUUGGAAUGCAAUGUGAACAUAACUUUUCCAAGGAUUUAAGGUGUUGAUGAGAAAGACAUUCUGAGACCUGCCAGCAGAGGGAGCUAUAAAACAAGAAAUAGAUGUUUACAGCCUCAACUCGGGAGAAAAAUACCGUGAACGGACCUUACACUACAGAAGUAACACUUUUCCCUCUGCUUUAUUUUCUCUAUAUGCUAAACUCCUUGCCUCUGCUAAAGAACAUCGCUGGAGUGUCUUGGUGUGUGAAGUAUGAAAUAGUUUCUAAAGACAUAAGUUGUGAUAUAGCAAGACAGAGGCAAAACCCCUCAUUCUUCUGAGAGUGUAAACAUCAUGUCGCAAGAAGCUCACCUAAAAUUUGAAAAGGAAAACUCAAAGAAAAUUUGAAAAGAAAUUCAAGGAAAAAAAUGUGACCUUUAAAAUUUCCAUGUUGACAGCACCACCAGGACCCCUUCUGGGAUCCGUUGCUAGGUAUAACUUCGUGCCUGACUCUGGAAGUUAAAAAAUGAAUAGUUACAGAUUCUUUUUCCGGGAGCCGCCUCUAGAGGGGUGUACCCACCAGGGAAGGUGAGCAGAGUGCCACCAAUCCUGUGGGUGCUCAGCGGGAGGUUGCUGAGGGAUGCUUCGUGACUCAACGCUGCUGAAGCCCUGAAGGCUGAUUUGGGUUUGCAGGGAACAGGAGGAUCGGCAUGGCGGAGCACGUUGGUCUGAGCACAUGUGAGGUAUUUAGAAAACUGCAAGUCAUCCAGCACAGGAGCAACGCCAGGCACAGGCAGGGGAGUCGUAGGGGAUGAUGCUGCAGAAGGGACAGACCGGGUUCUAGAAGUUGGCGAGCAAGGAAAUGUGAGCAUCUGGACUGCCGAAUGCACCCUGUUAAGUGCUACUCAUGUCGUUCUGACUGGGCUGAAUUGAAGAGCUGCCCAGCCUCUCCCCUGGCCCUGAGGCCCCUGAUCUAGAGGGACUAACUAGAGGGACGGCAUGGCAAUGGCAAGUGUACCCGAGACAGCAUGCCUGGAGGUUUACCCAGGAAUAUUCAUCCAGAGGGAAAGAGCAAUGGACGAUGAGCAUGUUGGACCAGACGGGCACGUGUCCAAGUGCACCCUAUGGAAUGUAUCAGCAUCGGCCUCGCCUGGAAGCCUGACAGAAAUGCAGAUUCCCAGGCCCUGCCCAGGCCUGCUGUAUCCGGAUCUCUUAGUGGUGGAGCCCAGGGAUCUGCAUGUCAUGAGUUUGCUCAGAGUAUCUGUGAACUGAGUUCAAUCCACAGCCCUCUACUCCAAUGCUAGCCAGACCCUGGGGCCAUUGCCUCUUCCCCCACAUGCCCCUCCAUACUGUCAGCACCUCUGCAUUGUGGCCUUUCUGCCACCCCCAACCGACUUGGGGAUCCCAACCACCCACACCCAGGGGCCUGCACCAGACUGCAGAGUGUUGCCUGAGGUGACACAGUCCACAGUCAUCCUUUUCUCCUCUCCUUCCCAGUUAAUUCCAUUUUCCACGCCUCUCAUGGCGAUUCCUGAUCUUCACAGGCCCCAGAGCCUCUGACCCUGGUGUUCCCCCUGAGAAAAUGAGGCCAGGGUUUGUGAGCUGCCCAUGCCACAGCUGUGCCUGCCUCAUCACGUGGAGUCCCUUUAGCUCAGCUCUAGGGUCCCCCUUCUUGCUUCCUCAAAGAUCCUCCUCUCUCCCAAGUUCCUCUUCUUCUUCUCAACACUUCUCUCUUCUGGGGCUUCCUCCUUGACACGUCAAUGUUGUCUAGCUGUCUUCAUCAAUUUUCUUUAUUAUUUUAUUUGUAUAUAUUGUAUUUUAUUUUAAGACAGAGUCUUGCUGUGUCAGCCAGCCUGGAGUUCAGUGGUGCAGUCAUAGCUCACUGCAGCCGCGACCUCCUGGGCUCAAGCGAUCCUCCCACCUCAGCCUCUUGAGUAGCUGGGACAACAGGCAUGGGCCACUACAGCUGGCUAAUAUUUUCUUUUUACUUUUUAAGAGACAGGGUCUUACUAGUCAUCCUUGUCUUUAAGAACGAAGCAAAACAAGGGUCUCGAAGAGAUAUUUGUACCCACUGUUCAUAGCAGCAUUAUUAAAGAGUUAAUAUGUGGACCC